AGUCCUAUGACUACUAUCUAUCUCUCGCAAAAAAUAAAAUUCAGGGCAAAAUCUUGCAUAAUGGCUUUAUCUUUCUCUCAAUUUCGCCUUUGUUUGAUUUUAUGCUUUGGUUUGAUCUUGUUUUCAGGAAUAGCAAAUGGUUUAGGUGGACCAAAUCUAAAAUGCGGCGAUAAAUGCGACCCGUCAACUGUUGGCAUAUGCAAUCAAAAUUGCAUUAACCAAGGCUUUGCGAAAGGUUCAUGUGUUGGAUAUACUUUUAAAUAUAUGUCUUGUUGUUGUUUUCCCCACUAAACUAUGAGUUAUUUGAUGGCUUCAACACAUAAAUAAAAUAAAACCCAAGCCUAAUCUUGCUUUAUACAUUAGGGACUAAUGUGUAAAGCUUGGAAAUACUUGAACUUAAUUAUUGUUAACAAAGUUAAUGAAAUAGUUUGUCCAUCUCUUAUUUUGAACUAUCA